UACGUAGGGGCCUAGCGUUGUCCGGAUUUAUUGGGCGUAAAGAGCUCGUAGGCGGUUCGGCAAGUCGGAUGUGAAAUCUCCACGCUUAACGUGGAGGGGCCAUUCGAAACUGCCGUGACUCGAGUCCGGUAGGGGAGUGUGGAAUUCCCGGUGUAGCGGUGAAAUGCGCAGAUAUCAGGAGGAACACCGAUGGCGAAGGCAGGUCUCUGGGCCACUACUGACGCUGAGAAGCGAAAGCAUGGGGAGCGAACAGG
rnacentral:rRNA from 1 species